ACAAACAUGGUCAAAGGGAUGAAGCGCAAGACGUAUGAGCAAAGGCUGAAGGAACUGGGUAUGUUUAGUUUGGAAAAGAGGAGAUUAAGGGGGCACAUGACAAUGAUCUUCAAAUACUUGACAGGCUGACAUAAAAAAGAUGAAGCAACAUCAUUCUCUCUUCCCACAGAGGCAGGACAAGAGGCAGUGGGUUCAAACUGCAGCACAGCAAAUUUAGAUUAAAUCUCAAGAAAAACUUCCUAACUGUAAGAGCAGCAGGACAAUGGAACAGAGGCCUCAGGAGGUUGUGGAAGCUCCUUCAUGGGAGGUUUUCAAAAGAAGGCUGGAUUGCAUCUGUCUUGAAUUGUUUAGAAACAAAUCCUUCAUCCUGGCAUGGGUUAGACUAGAUGACCAUUUCAGUUCCUUCUUAUGCUAUUAUUCUAUGAUUUUAAAUCACAUUGUUUUUAACCAAUUUCCUGAUAUUUUUGGGCCUGUCUCCUGAUUUUUGAAAACUUGGAUACGGCAGUGCGGGAAAGUCUGUUUACCAUUCCACAAGACUAUGUGAAUGUGAAAGGCUGUUUUCCCUACAAGCUGAGAGGGAGUUACCCCAGGUCAGCUAGGGGCACCUGAUCCCAAUUAAGGGCCUUUUAAAACCCUCCUCUGAGUAGAGGAAAGGGGAAGAGAGAAACAAGUUGCUGCCAGGCUAGUGGCAGUAGGGAAAUAAGCUUCUCCAGGGUGAGGGGCUGUGUUCCUCCCCAUAGGGGAAACAGCCAAACCUGAGUGCCUGCUAAGAUCACCCCUUAGGCCAACUGUCAGGGCUACCCUGAAAGUAUGGCCAAGGGAACACCGAAGGGGAAAGGCUAACCCUGCACAGAGAGGAGCUGAUUAACCCCAGGCUCACCAUUACCAGAGGGGAAAGCACUAAGGUCUGGUGAGACAAAGGAGGUGACUUGCCACAAUAUGUCAAAAGAAUUGUGUGACAAUUCAAUAAAACUUUCAAAGAACAGACCUGAGCAGAGAACUCCAGCAUCUUCAUGGUGCCCACAGUUAUGCGAACCCCAUCCUUUAGAGGAACAGUCCCGAAGA